AUGUGUACUCUGUUUACAUUACAGUUGUUUAUUAGUUUACUCGUUUGUUUUGCGACUGGUGAAAUGCCGGCAUAUAUAUAUUUUCAACAUUUGACAUAACCCUGUAUGUUUUGCAGGGACAACCCAGGACGUGCAUUUCUCAGCACCCAGUCAACUGCCAAAAGUGACUCAAACACAGGCCACCAGUGGAACUCGGCUGUACCACUGCAGUGCUGCAGAAAUUGCCUUCACCAGCGGCUUUGCAACAGCUGUUUCGCAGCAUGUCGGAGACAAUGCCUACGAAAUUAUUGGCCCUGAUCAUGAGAGCCCUCAAGGGGCAAACAUCUCUGUUGCAGAAGUGAGCCCGAUACCACUUGGAAGUUACCAUGACAGAUGACACGGCAGCAAUAGAUACAGAGACUGCCAUGUCUACUGCAGCUGCAACAGUGUACGAGGCAAGCAGCAGCGCGUCAGCAUCAGCAGCAGUGUCAGAAGGAACCACACCAGGCCUGGUAGAGCAACAUGUGUGCUAUCACUGACUUUUUUUGUAGUGGAUACAACUCAUUUGCUCAACAUACAAAAGCUUUUCACCACGACUGUGAGCCAGUGUUAUUGUGCAGCAAGUGCAAGACUAAGUUAGGUGUUAUAACACAGUACAAGCAUCACUUUAAUAUAUGCAAAUGCAAACAUAUUACAGUUGUUGCCUCCCCAGCCAGCCCACAUAGUGACAACAAUGUGGACCACAUGGUGGGACACACCUCUUCCCCAUUACAAGAUAGUAGAGACUGUCAGUGUUGUUGCUAGAUUGACUGGUCUUUGUAGGCAACUAGAAGGACAACACAGGUGUCAUAAGAUUGUUGUUGAUGUUGUUGUUGAAGAGGUAAAAAAGAAGUUUGAUGCAGCUGAAGUGCCAACUGAUAUUGAGCAAAUCAAAAGCAACCACCUGAGAAAACAAGACUAUCGAAAUUUGGGUAUUUAUGUGCCGCCAACUCUGGUAAGAAUGGCAUAGGACAGAAGUGUGAUGAAAAUCACACAGACACUGCUGUUGCAUCACUGGCCACAGUGAGCAGCGACUUGUAGGGCAAGAGAGUCAACUGAAACUAACAUUAUGAUAUAGUGUCAUGCUCCCAUGUGACCACUUUUCAAGUUAUUUUGCAAGAUACAGCUCAACCUCCAGAAACGAGACUGCAACUUGUCUGUAAAAAAGCUUUCACAAAAAAUUAUUCAUAACACUAUUAACAUAGCAGUAUCUUUUUUUUUUGUGUCGGUUCGAGGUUCCCGGCUGUCCAUUAAUGCAAAAAUUGAGGAAAAAAAAGAACAUGUGUCGUACUUACACCUUUUUAACAAGUACGAGGGGGACAGAACUUUUCUAGUCAUGCAUCUUCAUCAUACUAUCAAGUUUUUAAAUGCCUUUUAUAAUUAUUAUUACCAGUUGUAUCUGAGUGCAUUGUAUGCAUGUAGCAGGUGUAAAAUCAGGUCAGUUGGAUCAGAUGCCUUAUCUGCAAGCGAGCCCUAUAUUCAAGAAAUUUGAAUUAAAAUAGUUACGUUAGAGACGCAGCCUUUCAGCACUUUAUUGCCUGUGGUUUAAGCAUUGCUCAAUACUUUUGUGGGUGGCAAUUUCAACCGGCACAGCACUGCGCUUUGCCACAGUCACAUUUGUCUUCAAAGCGGUGUUUACCAUUUGUGUUGAUCUGUUUGUGUAUGCAUAGAGCAAGUUCUUAAUUUAUAUUUUUCUGCAUUCUUGUGCUUGCACUAAGCUUGUAUAAGGCAGUUACAAAAUGUGCGUCACUAUAACGAACUGUUCUGUUGAGCUUACACUUGCAAAUAAUCGUGUUCAGAUGGCCGCACUUCUAUGCGGGUGCACCGCUAGCUUUGUGUAUGUUCUCAUGUUUGUAUAAAGCUUAUAUAAGCUAGUUAGAAAAUGUAUGUCACUAAGCAUUGUGAUAUUCUUUAAAGAACUGCUUGGUUGGUUUUACACUUGUGAAUUCGUAUUGAGGCGGUGGUAUUCCCAUGUAUGCCCACUGCUAGCUUUCUGUGUCCUCACGUGUUUGUAUUAAGUUUCUACAAGGGAGUUACAGCAUGUACGUCACUAAGCGCUGUGAUAUUUUUUAAAGAACUGCUUUGUUGGUUUUACACCUGUGAGUAAUAGUACUCGGGUGGCACUAGUCAUGUGUAGGUACACAGGGACCAUUUGUAUACAUUAUGCUCAUGUAAAGCAGUUACAAAGUGUAUGUCACUAAUUACUGUGAUAUUUGUUGAAUUGCUGUGAUGGUUUUACACAUGUGAAUAAUAGUGGUCAGGACACAGUACUUGCGGUGUAUAGUUGAAUUUAUACACUGCCAAGACAUGGGCUGUAAGUACCAAAAGAAAUGUAU
rnacentral:lncRNA from 1 species